UGUUAAUUGAGAGUUUUGCAGGAUACAGUAACCUGGGCUGGCACUUGUGUUCUCUUAGGGUCUGUAUGACAUCAGUCCAGGAUCUUCUGGCCUUCAUAGUUUCUGGCGAAAAGUCUGGUGUGAUUCUGAUAGGUCUGCCGUUAUAUGUUACUUGACCUUUAUCCCUUACUGCUUUUAAUAUUCUUUCUUUAUUUUGUGCAUUUGGUGUUUUGACUAUUAUGUGACGGGAGGUGUUUCUUUUCUGGUCCAAUCUAUUUGGAGUUCUGUAGGCUUCUUGUAUGCCUAUGGGUAUGUCUUUUUUUAGGUUAGGGAAGUUUUCUUCUAUGAUUUUGUUGAAGAUAUUUACUGGUCCUUCGAGCAGGGAGUCUUCACUCUCUUCUAUACCUAUUAUCCUUAGGUUUGAUUUUCUUAUUGAGUCCUGGAUUUCCUGUAUGUUUUGGACCAGUAGCUUUUUCCGCUUUACAUUAUCUUUGACAGUUGAGUCAAUGAUUUCUAUGGAAUCUGCUGCUCCUGAGAUUCUCUCUUCCAUCUCUUGUAUUCUGUUGGUGAAGCUCGUAUCUACAGCUCCUUGUCUCUUCUUUUGGUUUUCUAUAUCCAGGGUUGUUUCCAUGUGUUCUUUCUUGAUUGCUUCUAUUUCCAUUUUUAAUUCCUUCAACUCUUUGAUUGUGUUUUCCUGGAAUUCUUUCAGGGAUUUUUGUGAUUCCUCUCUGUAGGCUUCUACUUUUUAUUAAUGUUUUCCUGUGUUUCUCUAAGGGAGUUCUUCACGUCUUUCUUGAAGUCCUCCAGCAUCAUGAUGAAAUAUGAUUUUGAAACUAGAUCUUGCUUUUCUGGUGUGUUUGGAUAUUCCAUGUUUGUUUUGAUGGGAGAAUUGGGCUCUGAUGGUGCCAUGUAGUCUUGGUUUCUGUUGCUUGGGUUCCUGUGCUUUCCUCUCGCCAUCAGAUUAUCUCUAGUGUUACUUUGUUCUGCUAUUUCUGACAGUGGCUAGACUGUCCUAUAAGCCUGUGUGUCAGGAGUGCUGUAGACCUAUUUUCCUGUUUUCUUUCAGCCUGUUAUGGGGACAGAGUGUUCUGCUUUAUCGUGUAGUUUAUCCUUUCUACAGGUCUUCAGCUGUUCCUGUGGGCCUGUUUCUUGAGUUCACCAGGCAGGUCACUUGCAGCAGAAAAGUUGGUCUUACCUGUGGUCCUGAGGCUCAAGUUUGCUUGUGGGGUGCUGCCUACGAAUUCUCCGCAGCGGCAGCAACCGGGAAGGUCUGUGCCUCCGUUUCCGGGAGCCUCAGUGCACCAGGGUUCCAGAUGGUGUUUGGUGUUUUCCUUUGGAAUCAGUAAUGUGUGCAGAGUGCAGUCUCUUCUGGUUUCCUAGGCGUGUCUGCCUCUCUGAAGGUUUAGCUCUCCCUCCCACGGGAUUUGGGUGCAGAGAACUGUUUAUCAGGUCUGUUUCCUUCAGGUUCCGGCGGUGUCUUAGGCACAGGGGUCCUGCUGCUCCUGGGCCCUCCCCCACAGGAACCCAGAGGCCUUAUACACUUUCCUCUUGGGCCAGGGAUGUGGGCAGGGGUGGGCAGUGUUGGUGGUCUCUUCUGUCUGCAGCCUUAGGAGUGCCCACCUGACCAGGCGGUGAGGUCUCUCUCCCAUGGGGUCUGGGAGCAGAGAGCUGCUGCGGGCCGGGAUCCAAGGGUGUGGAACUCCUGGUAAACACAGGGAGUGCCCUGUCCUAGAGGAAUUCUGCCUCUGUGUGUCCUGAGUUCACCACGCAGGUCACUUGCACCAGAAAAGUUGGUCUUACCUGUGGUCCCGAGGCUCAAGUUUGCUCGAGGGGUGCUGCCCACGAGCUCUCUGCGGCGGCAGCAACCAGGAAGAUCUGCACCGCCGUUUCCCUAUCAUUAAAUUUAUGUAUUGAUUUUUCUAAAGAUUUAUUUAUUUUAUUCCAGUACAAUGUUGCUAUCUUCAGACACACCAGAAGGGGGCAUCGGAUCCCAUUACAGAUGGUUGUGAGCCACCAUGUGGGUGCUGGGAAUUGAACUCAGGACCUCUGGAAGAGCAGUCAGUGCUCUUAACCGCUGAGCCAUCUCUCCAGCUCUCUACUGAUUUCUUAAAUUCAGUUAUUUGUCAAUUCUAGAAUUUUCUUUUGAUGUUUGAAAAUAUAGAUGCUAGAGUAGAUGAAAUUCUUCCUCUUGCCAUCUUGAAUAUAUAAUUAUAGAUAUUUAAAAACUUUUGACAACUCCAAAGAAUGCAUUUCUAAUUUAUUCACAUUUCUGUUCAGGUCAGUUCAUUUUAUGGCUUCUCUGACAAUUUUUCACUGAAUGCUGGACAUUGUAAGUUAAAAAUAAUUGAGGUUCUUGGGAUUUUAUAUGUUCCCAGAGAGAUUAUCCUGUUCCCUUGAAGAAGGCAUUUAGGAAGAGAUUUCUUGUCUUGGUCCAUUUGCUAAUGGUUUAAUUCCAUGUUCUUCUUCCUCUUAUGUGGUUCUCAGCUAAAAAUACUGAGGUGUCUCUGACCCAAUUUUGGCCUUCCCAAACCACAAGGUUCGGCAGAAUCUCACUCCUUUCAGAGUGCUUCAGUGCACCACAGUGCAAAUUUGCAAAUGUUCUGAGCAUACAAAAUUUGGUGAAGAUAUAGCUUGCCUUCGAGCAUUUCCCCUUCUGCUUCCCAGCAGACUGCGGCAGUGAUGUGGACUGGUUGCUGUGUGCCAGCUUCCAGCGGUUUCCAGUGGAAGGCUUCUGAAGAAAGGUAUGCUCACAGCGGUGGACACUACCAGUUACCUUCUCUGUGACUUCCUCCUCUCCUUGCCUUGAUGGUCAGUAUGCUCUUUUCAAAGCAGCAAACUUUGGCCUGAUUUCUUAUUCAUGACAUAGUUUAGAAACUUUUCUUCCCUUUCCUCUCACCUUUCCAGAAUUCUUGAUAUUUUGAUAUUUGAUCUCCUGCAUGGAUCAAUAUUUUUAACAUUGUCUCCCCUCCCCCAACCCCCGUCCAGCUGGUUCAUUUUAUUCAGAGAACAGUCUUGCAAUCUUUUGUCCUGGUGCCACACUAUGACUGCUGAUUUUUUGACAGCCAAGUGAGGAGAGGGUUUGGGGAAAGGCUGCUCAGACAGAAGCUCAACCAGAGUCUUCCGGUCUUCACCUGGUUGUGUGCUGUUCCUUCUGCUCUCACUGCAGAACCUCAUGAGUUCAUGGUCUCCAGCCAGUACCGUGACUGAUGGAGGAAUCUGUCUCAGUCCACAUCAUCAUUCGGCAGGGCCUGGCACCGGCUGUUUGUGGAGUAUCCAAGUCUAUGGCAUGAUUGGCUGUAGAUGUAAGUUUUAUAUUUCUCGGAGAUUUCAAGGCAGCCAUACACUUGCUUUUUGUGCUACGACGUCAUGUCUUCUGCUCAUGUCUUUAAGCAUUUCUCCUUCCCAGUGCUGAUGCCCUUGUGGAUUUGUUAUUUUUUUCUUUUGUUCUUUCUAUUAAAAAAAGUCUAGAAUUUUCAGGGAGGAAACAUAAAGCAGGUGUGUUCAGUUUACCAUUUCUCACUGGAAUUUUCAGGUGCAUUAUGUACAUCAAGAGAAACGUCCACAGCAGGUAUUAAUAUAGAUGAGGAAAAUGUGGAAGUAACAAGAAAUGACAGAGUUAGAAUUAAAAGUCACUCUACCUGGCACAAAGGCCCACAUUUUGGAAAACACUUCCCCAACCCCUUUAACUUUAAAUAUCAAGGUUUUGUCCCCAGGUAUGAGCAACCCACUGUUUUCCAAAGCCAAGUAAUUCAUGAAAUUAAAAACAAAAAUGCAAUAUACAUCCACUCAUUCUCUGUUUAGCAGUCAAUUCUUAGGUGCUUUUCCUACAAAAGUAAAUUUUAAUUUUCCUACUUUGUCAUUGAAGUUUUUUGGUUUGUAUUUGAAAUUAUUAAGCUUGCCCUGGGGAAGUUUUGUUCUAAUUGAAACUUUUCUCUAGGUCAGGAUCAUAUUCCCUAAAAUAUUGCAGCUCUUCUGUUUUAUAGAAAAUGAAGUUUCUGGUCCUUAAUAGAGAUUGAAGAUGUACAGAGGUUUCUUACUGUGUUUCUCUUUGGGCUCUCUCAGAAUGACUCGCUGCUUCCAGUUGGCCCUGUAUCUGAACACCCUUGUUAAAACCUCUCCAUACACAAUGAUUUAGUCUUUAUUAUGGGAAAUAAGUAAGAUCCUGGAAAGCAAGAAAGAGUUAUUGCAAAAGACAACUUAGACAGUUUGCCACAAGUGGGAUAUUUAAUGACUGGGGAGUCUCUGUAAAACAUUUGUGUAUCAAAACUACAGCAUCUUGUCCUUAAAGAAAGGGGAAAGGCCCUUGCCUAGAGGAUAGUCCACACAGGAAGGGGAGUCACAAGCAUUCCCAGUCAUUUCAAACAUUGCUUUUUAAAAGGAACAUGUUGAUCUUUUGAGUGGUCAUCUUUUUUUUUUUCUGGUAAGAGCAUCUCUGGACCUUAUUCCUACUUUCAAGUGGUAGGAGAGUUGAUAUUUGUUAAUGGUUUCUGAUGAGCCAGCCUGACUCCAUUUUAGGCUUCAAAGUCAUAUUCUAGCAAAGACAAACUAGGUUUAUUGCUGCUUAUGAUUAAACUUCUGUUUCUCAAGGAUUGACCUGUUUCCCCACCCCUGUAACCUUAAAGGCAAUGGCUCUGUAUGGCCUGUUCCAGGAAACAGCAACUGUGCUUGCAACCCUACCUUUGUUUCAAAGGUUGUUAGGUCUACUGUGUUAUGAGUACCUGUUAGGACUUAGUUAUGAACACCUCACAAUCACGUCUUUGUUUCGGGUCAUUAUGGCUAACCUGUUGUGCUUACAUUCUGCUUUUGUAACUCCGUCUAUUUUCCUGCCAAGUUCCCUAUUUGGAAACACCUCCUCCCCACCCCACACCCCCCCGCCCCGCCAACUACAAAAUCCUUGUCUUCUUCACAUUUAAUGCUGAUCUCUUGAACCCAGCUUUUAGGGAGAGACAACGCAUUUACACGGAUAGAAAGCUUGCUUUGGUUAAUUUGGCUAUGAUGAUUUGUGUCAAUGGUCUUUCUCCUCAGAUCUUUAGGAUUAGCAUUACAAGUAAAGUACCUAGAUAAUCAGAGACCAAUGUGGAAACAUCCCAUACGGUAUAAUGUUCAAAUUGAGAAUGAAUUAUACCCUAGCCAAAUUGUUUAAUUUGUCCUUAGUAGCUCAUUUCUCUUAAACUUCUACAUUAUUGUUUACUUAAAAAGUAAAAUUAAUUUUACCUUGCUAGCACUGUACAAGAGUUUUGACUUACUUUCCAAAGCUCCAUCCCCAGGAAUUUUCUUUCACCCGUCAAAUCAGAAGCAUUCGUUUACUCUGUUAGCUUCUGAAUAGCUUGUAUAUUCAUUUUGCUUGAUCUUUUUUACACACUUGCAUGGCAUUCUUUCUCUCUUCCCCUCUCUCCCCCUCUGUUUCUCUGUCUCUGUUUCUCUGUCUGUUUCUGUCUCUCUGGUGUGUGUGUGUGUGUGUGUGUGUGUGUGUGUGUGUAUGUGUGUGUAUACAGUGCGUAUAGUUAGGGAGGGACUGCAAUGCUGACAUUGUGUAAAAGUACACCAAAUAAAUUUUUUUUCUUUCUGAAAAAAGAAAAUACAUGUUAAUAUUCUAAUUUUACAGUGUGUGGUCUUUAGGGGAAGAAUUGUUGAAAAAGCCCAGAUGAGACCCUGGCGAUUAGUCCAGAGCCUGACACAGCACGCUGUUUUGCUGUGGGUGUCUUAAUGCAGGAUGUGACACUUGAGAGAGGCUCUGGGAGAUUCUAUUGGCUAUAAACACCAAAAGACAAAAGUUCUUAAAAAGGCAACCAAUUCAAAGGAAGACAGUGAAAUGCCAUCUGAGUACGCAAUUAGCAGAUAGCAGCAGACUGGGGAGCUUUCUAAAAACAAGGAAGCAAGGAGAAUCUUUAAACCACCAAAGAGUUCACAUGAAGAUCUCAUGGAAACCACACUGACCUCUUCUCUAGCAAGGGGAAUUUCCAACAGCCAGCUCUGGCUAAGAAUUCAGACACGGCUGUUAAAAACAAAAGGAGGAAAUAAAAGCUCAGGGAAGAACAGCUUCAAAAUGACUUCGUUUUCAAGCUUUUUAAUGACAAGAAGUAGUGAUAAAGAAGACUGAAGUCUGCCUGCAUCCAAAGAUGGGUCCAGCAAGGAUUAAAACUACAAAUGUUAAAGAGAACCAAAGCUACUGACAUGAUUUCCCCAGACCUACAGUGGACAAGGAGACCCAGUCUGCUUGAAGGACUAAGACCCUGAUGUGGAUGUUACAUUUCCCCUUUUAAACGCAUAAUUUAGUUGAAACUUAUGUUCAAACUUGGGUCGGCUCUUCUUUACCUCCGGGUGUCUUUUAAUGAUUUUCUUGUAGCUGAGAUCCUACUGGAGAGAGAGCCGUCAAACACUAUAGGAACCAGAAACAUGGAGGAAUACAGCCGGCACCUUGUAGCUCAGAAGCUUAAAUAAGACAAGGAAAGAUACAGUAUAAACAGGUGGCUGUGAGUACCUCCCACAUAGCAGGGUCCAAUAAAUACUCAUGAAAGAAAGGGGAAACAUACAGUUAUGAUCUCUGGAAGAAAUUGUUCCUGAGCUGAUGGGAACACCCAGACAAGUCGAAAGAAGAGUGAGCCCCUAUCCAACCCUUGUCACUGUUCCAAUUCAUAAAAUACCUUUAGAAACCAGACAUUUCCUCCAAUUGAUCCAUUAGGCUCAGAGAUAUUAAGUGUCUUGUCCAAGACCUUUGAAAAUACCUUAAUAUUUAUUGCCUGUCAAACAAUUAUAUUUUAUAUACUGGUAUUAGUUUGUCCAAGUCAAAUAAUUAAGUCAAUGGCCAGUAAGGAAAAGCCGAAUUCAGAUCCGUCCACAGAUCUCGUUUGUCUGGUAGCUGCUGCUGCCUCUUUUCCUUGAACAAAGUGAAUGAGGCUAGGGUGUCCCUCCACAGAGUUCUGUAUAGGAGAUGGUAAGUUCCUGCAGAGCUUAGAGUAACACUGCUGUUUUGUCUGCCUAGUGACAAGUUUAUUUGCACAUUCCACAGCCAGUGGUCCAUGAGGAACGACCUGGACCUGGGCUCCUCUUCGUCUGUGUCCAUCAGUUCUUUCUGCGGUUGCUCUGUCCUCCAUUGUAACUUACAGCGCCAAGGGCUUCUCCAGAACUUCUCAUUGUGUCUCGGUUUCCGUUGGUAGCUGAGUCACCAAGUUCUGGGUUUGCAGAUUUACUCUGUCUGAACUUUCUCUCUGUUCCUGCGGAAAGAUGCCCAUGUCAGACCCUCAUUUUCCCUUCUGGUACUUUCGCUUGUCUCUGUCUCCCAUCACCGCCAUUUCUGCAGCUCAAACUCGGCGGUGCCGCUGGAGUCAUUACUGUUGACUGAAAAACUGCUGCCCUAGGGGAAAAGGAAUCUCUUCGCCUCCUACAAACUCAUUCACCACCUGAAUGCUGAUAAAUUGCAAAUUUCCGUCUGCAGCCGGAUUCAGAGUUUCCACACUGUUUCUGGCUCAGUAAACUCCAGUAGCUUUGCAAAGGAGGUCUCUGACCUCCUCACUUUUAUUGCAUUGGUACAAGCUCUCCUUCCUAGACAGCUUUCACUUCCUCCCACUGCCUUUAUUCUAAUGGACACGAAUCCGGCUGUCUCAGACUGUUGCAAUAGGCUGAAAGACGGUGGGUGCCGUGAGAGUUGCCCUCUAACAUUGCUGUGCACACUGUUUUGGCUUCUAAUAUGGUCUCUUUCUGAAUACUUUCCACUGAACUUUCACGCCCAUUUUUUAAAAAGCAGUUCAACAUCUCUGAACUCAGAAUAUAUUUUUACAGUUAAUUUCCUAUAUUUUUCUCUUAAACGACCACUGGGGAUUGUAUUGAAGGACUCAAUGUGCUGGGCUAGACAUGUUACCAUUGAGCUAUACUUUCUCUAAAAAUGAUCAAAACCACCCUCUGUCUCAGUCUCAGUCGGGCUAGCUGGCCUCAAACCCUGGGAGUCUGCUAACCUAACUUGUCUCUUUGUAGGAACAUCGGGAUUGCUCACCGUGAUACAACAGUUUACUUGGGUUUCAGAAACCCAAACUCAAAUUCGUAAGCUUGCACAAGUACUAUCCACUGAGUCAUCUCUUACAACCUUAAAAUCCAUUUUAAAACACAAUUUGAAAGACAUUUGUUUUUAAUGUUGUACUGUAAAACCCAAUCAACCUGUUUUUGAAGAAACCCCCUUUUGCGUGAGACUAGGGGCUAAACUCCAAUUCUGGGAAGGAAAUCACACCUGAGCAAUCGUCCUAUGACACCCAAGCCCCUAGCAACAGCCAGACCACAAUAGUAGGACCAAGGUACAUUGAGGUAACCCAAGACAUCCUGCAGAGAAUAGGUAGCCUGGCUAUUCUGUUUUCCAGUUGGUUCUGCCCUCAUGUUCAGUUCCUGCAGAUUCAUCAGAAAUGCAGUUUUAAAAAUAUUAGCUUGCUGACCUGUAUGGAAAAUCUCCAAGUUUGCUGUAACCAUAAUAAAAUCCCUGCACCCCUAGACUCAAGGGCUCUCAUGCUGACCUGCUGUCACAGUAAGAGUCUGAGAGACCUUGCUUGAGAGCUCUUAAUAAGGACCCUUAAUGUAUUUUACAUCGGAAAUGGCUCCUCCAUGGUCUGGUCUUUGGGUACCUGCAACUUGGGCAUAGCAGUACAUGUCAGUACAUUUUAUAGUGAGAUAUAAAAUAUGAUAACAGGAAAAAAAUUAUCGUUCUGAAUGUGUUCCUGCCAUGCAUUAAAACUUCAAAUAAUUCCCCAUUGUUCUAAGAAUAAAACAGAACCACCUUAACGUGUCCAUAGCAUCCUGCAUGUUUGUUCUAUUCCUUGCAUCCCCUGCUAUAGAAACAUUUUGUGUCACUCACCUCAUAAGCACAUUCGUCUGAUGACUAAUUUCUGGGUAUUUACUGUGUCCCCAAAUUAGUGUAGCUUUUGUGUUCAUCAUACUCCCUGCUCAGUAGAAGCCCCACCCCCAACACACACGGAAUGUAGUAUGCUGCCCCUCAGCGUUGGAAUAUGCCAGGCUUCCUCCUGGGAAGGCUCUCUGUCGGGCUGCACGUUUCUUCCUACUGCUCCUUCAGAGUCUGAUUUGCCCAGUACCCCCCUCCAUCUCUCCCGUUACAUGAACUCAUGGAUCCAGCACUCCUGCUCCUCAGGACAGCUCUUGUUUUCCCAGUGUCGGUCCUUCACACCAUUAGGAUGUGGAGCAUUGGAUUGUCUUUGCCUAACUCACUUUAGCCCUUACUCUAAUAGGGGGCCAUGCCAGCUCUUUCUAAAAUUCUUGGAAUGAAUUAUGAUAAGGAAUGGAAUUAUGCACCUGGAGUUAUUCUGAGUUGUCUUCUACCUGAGUGUAUUCUUUAGAAGAAACAUACAGAGGUGAACCCUAGGCCGACGGGAUUACAUGGAAAUCUUAGUUUGACAAGCUAAAAAGAAAUUACACAGUCAGUUUCACAUUAUGAUACUUCAUUGCUGAUAUAAAACUAUCAUAUUUUCCUCCUUAAAUAAUUGCAACAGUAUUCUAGUUCCUAAUGUUCACUAUAACCAAAUAAAUACGCGGAACUGAGCCAUCUGCUGUGUUUCUACUCUGACAGGCUAGAUCUCAUUCUUUCGCUGCUCUGUUCAAAGCUCUUUGUCCCUUGCCUUGAAAACGUGCUGCCUCUGUCCAGUAUGGAUUAGCUCGGUGGGGAAUGUUUUCAGAGCAGUUGCAGAUUCAUCUGCUCCUGGUGAGCUUGCCCUCAGACAUAGCUUACACUUCUGCUCUUCUGCAAACAUAAGUCUAGUUAUAUUCUCAGGAAGCAAUUCAGAAAGAGGCACACUUUUGUCAUGUUUAAAAUGCAACGUGUUUUCACUAGAAUUCAAAGCCAUCUUAUUGUCCUUUCUUUGUUCUAGAAAUGUUUUUUCCUUAUUAUAUAUACUCUACUUCAUUAUGCAAUUGUAUACUUCAAGUAAUUGUCGUUAUAUUCAUAUUAGCAUAAUCCUCUGUGUAAGCGAAGAAAAAUCUGAGAAAUAGAAAAACAACAGAAAGAUCCUUAUUCUUAAUAUACUCUGCAAUAAGUAAAGAAAGAUUUGCAGUUCUGGGUUUUUAAGUUGUUGAAUUUUCGCUCUCCUGUUUUUAGUAACAUGUCCUCAAAUCCCUGGACGAAAAGGCCGUAGAAUUUGAAAUGUUAUUACGACAACCUAUAGCAACACGCUACUUCAACCCAGGUAUAAUCAAAAGGAAAAUUUCUUGUAACUACAUUCAUAUUCAAAGAUCUUGUGAUAUAAGCCAACCCCUGUGGGGGUAUUAUUUCCAAACAUAACAGGUUGACAUUAUAUAAUUACACACUGCUGGAUACUGAAAUAUCAAAGAGGAGUGCUUAUAGAGGUGCACACAGCACACUGUUAUGAAUAUUCACAUUCAUCCACACAUUUUUAGGGAAUUAUUUCGAGUUAUGUAUUACAGACGUUAGCAAAGAUUUGGUGAUUUAUUUAAUAUCAACAUUAGGUUUUGACAUUAACGUCUUAGCAAGCAAGCAUAGAGAGGCUUGAUUCAGAGACUCACCUCUACUAGCUAAAAGGACUCCAGGGGGAAGCUCUUGUUAUUUCCAUCUGUGCUUUUCUAAACAGAAACUCCAGCCAUAUGCACAGCUGAGGAUUAUAAACCCUAUCCUAUGCAUACCCAACUUCCGUAAUUUAUAAUUUCCGUCUCCGAUUUUUUACUGUUCUCUCCAUGCUCAGGGAUGGCAUUACUUACCUUUAAAUCAGUUCUUCUGCUUCAGCUCCAUUUUACCUCCCACUUGCACAUCAUACAUUUUUGGCAGAAGUGGAGAGGGUUAAUGACCCUUCGUCUCUCAGCUUCUUAUCCAACUGUUUUCAGUGGUCUGUCUCUCCCAUUUAACCUCUGGGUGGUAACCAGAAUCUACCUUUCUCCCUUCAAAAGGUCAGCUUUCUAAUAUUUCCAUGCCUUCUCCUUCGUGUGGCCUUUUUGACUUAUGUGGUGCACAGUGAAAUUAGCCUCACAGACAUUAAGGCCCCAGGCGCUCUCUCUCUUGGGUCUUUAGUCUCACGCUCAGGUUGGGGAGCUCAGUGAUCUUGAGGCUCUUUCCCAUUCUGCUAUGGAGGAAUCAUCUGGUUUCUACUUUCCCAUUUCUCUUCUAUCUAUUGAUCUUUUAAAAACAUACGGAUAAUUGCAACUCUGGGGCAUGUAUUUCAUGCAUAUUUAUUUUAUUUUGAGAUUGGGUUUCUUUGUGUAGCUCUGGCUGUCCAGAGAAUUGCUCUGUAGAUCAGGCUGGCCUUGGACUCAGAGAUCCACCUGUCUUUGCCUCCCCGGAGACAUAAUAUGUAUUUUAGGAGUAGUAGAACAGCAAGCUGUCUGUGUGCACCAUGUGUAGGAAACAGGAAAACUACUGUUGUCCUCAUCACAAAAUCAGUGAGCCAAUCUACUGAUAGAAAUACCCAGUGGCAGGACAGGCCUCCAGAGUUAAGGAAGAUUUAAGUGUGUGCAUACUUAAUUAAGGGGCUGGUGGAUGGCUCAGGGGCUAAUUGCUCUUUUUUUAGAGGAAUGGAUUUCAUUCCAAGCCCUAGAAUGAGUAGCCAUAAUCCUUGUAACUUCCACUUCAGUGGAUUUAGUGCCGUUUUCCAGCCCCCGUGGUCAAUGCUCUCACCACCCCUCACACACACACACACACACACACACACACACACACACACACACACACACUCACAAAGCAACAACCAGCACUACCAAAACAACAGCAUCAACAAGUCUGGAGAAAUGGCUUGGUGGUUAAGAGCAAGCACUGCUCUUGCAAAGGAUCCAUGUUGGUUCAUAGCGCCUAGGCCAUGUGGCUCACAGCAGCACCCUGUAACUCCAGCUGCAGGGGAUCCAACACCCCCUUAAGAUCCAAAGGCAUCUUACUCAGGCACAUCCCCGCACAUAAUUAAAAACAAUAGAAACACAUCUUUUAAAAAUUUGACCCCCAACUGUUCCUAGUAAUUGGGAGAGCUGAUCCUGGCUCAUACUAGGUUAGUCUUAGCUACUAACUUGAGCCCUCUUUCUAGGAACUUUCUUGAUCUUUCUUACUUUUGAACAAGCUAAGAUCCCAGAUGCUAGGAUACCAGAUAAAAGUGAAAUUGUUGCUUCUUUGUUCCUCUACAGGGGUAGAAUGAUGACUAAAACAGGCUCUGUAUAAACCAGAAGAGUAGUGCGCAAGAUAGGCCAAGUUAAGCUGCCUUGCUUGUUACUGUAAUACAUUCUACCUGGAGAGCCUUUAUUUAGGGGCACCUUGACUGGCCUCUAAACACUUGUGUGUUAUGUUGCAAUUUGUGACAGUGGUCAUUAUCUCUCAGCAGAAGUAAAAUGAAAAAAUCUUAUCGCUAGACAAGUAGACUUGAGUGGAAAUAAGCAGCCAGUAAAAAGCAACAUGCGGACAAGCUGGAUAUACAGUGUAAGUUGCUUUAUCUCAAGCUUCCUUUUCACACCCUCCAUUGCCUCUUUGGGGUGUUGCUAUUCAUGAAUAAAAAUAUUACUUUAAAAACAAAACAAAAACUUCUUUGCUUUAAUUAGGCAAAAUGAAAGCCUUCUGUUACAAUUUAUAUUAUUAAAAUUUUGACAUUUCAUAAUGGCAUACAAGAAAUUCUAUUUUUAAAAAGUGCUAUAUUAGAGUGACGCUUUAAAAUGAUGAUUGAAUUUUUUGUGAUUAUUAUUUGAUACAGAAAUUAUGGUGUAAUGAUAUUAUGUUUGGUAGUCCCUUGUUCUAUUUUAAAUAGUCAUCAACCUCUGGGGUGGUAUGUAAUCUGGAACAAAUUAACUUUAAAUGGUAAUUAUUAUUGAAAGUUACAUAUAUAAAAGCAAUGGCUAUUUCUGGGCAGUGGUGUCUUGGGCAUGAAGCAGUCAGUAAGUACACCCAUAUCCAAACAACUGAAGAGAGCUCUCUAAUUCAAGGCUCCAAACAUCAUAGAACUGUACAUUCAAUAACAACAAACUUUUAGAUCCCAAAGAAACUCAGGACAAAAUGCUAACUGUGGUGCCUAUUAGCAGGCUAAAGAGCAGGCUGGUAGCCAAGUUCACUUAGAGAUGGUUCCUCUCAGUUCUUCCUACCCAACUGUGCGCCCUAAACCUCUUCAGCCUAGCACCUUCAUUUCCCCACCCCCAGCUUCUGAUUCCUUUAAAAAAAAACCCACCAUCUAGGCUGUCUGCUGUCUGGGUCCUCCAGGCUUGGCUUGUUUCUGUCUUGGCCCCUUCUUUGCUCUUGCUCCUGUCUGUCUGUCUGUCUGUCUGUCUGUCUGUCUGUCUGUCUGUCUGUCUGUCUCUUUGUUUUUCUCUUCCUCUUUCUCUUUCCUCUCUUUUUCCUCCUCUUUCCCUAUGUCCUCUCUCUCUAUCUCUCUCCUUCCAGCCUCCCCUCUCUUCCAUUGCCCUCCCUUUCUCUCUUCCUUACUUCUUCCUCUCUACUCUCCCUCUCCACUCCACCCGCUUCACCCAGGUUCAGUCUAGACUCUUCCAGAUGCCUCUAGCUCCUUCAUGUCUACAAUAAAAACUUUCUCCUCAACCAUUCCUUGGAGUGGUCAUGUCCCCAUUUUCAUUCACAAACACAAGGGUAUGGUCCAAGCUUUAAUCUAGCUCUCCAUUGUUUCUAAUAAACAGAUGGAUAGUAAAUCUGUGGGGUAAAGAGCACCAUCUCUGCUUCAAGCACACAUCUCCUCACACUUUAUUUUGUAUUAUAUCUCUAAAUAUAGCUGAUAGCAUCUUCUCGUACACUUUUUCUUGCACAAGAACCUUUAUUAAAUAUUUGAAAUAUUCUGUUUAAAAUGCUUAUUGUGGCUGGAGAGAUGGUGCAGCAGUUAAGAGCACUGACGGCUCUCCGGAGGUCUUGAGUUCAGUUCCCAGCAACCACUUGGUGGCUCACAAGCAUCUGUAAUGGUAUCCGGUGCCCUCCUCUGGUGUGUCUGAAGAGAGUGACAGUGUACUCAUUAAAAUAAAUAGGUAAAUCUUAAAAGAAAUGCUCAAUGUUUAGGUCAAUGAAUACCUUUUUCUUAAAACAUUUUAAAAUUUAAUUUUGUAAAGGGAAUAUUACUUUAUAUUCUAGUUCUUUCUUGUCCUAUAGAACGAACUGUGGGUUUGUGCCCAUUCUUCACAUAUUCAUCGAGCACUUUGUUAAGCAGAUGUGGUGACGGCUAUCAUGAACGUAACAGGUGAUAAAAUACGCCCAUGUUCUCAAGGAAAUGCAUAUGCUCAUGCAGAACACAAAACAAGAUCAUUGUCAGGUCCUAAGAACCUGAGGCUGGGAUGAGUCAAGAAAGGUAAGCGAGUGUACAGGGAGGGAACGGAGCAGAGCCAUCCUGGGUCAAAGGGGCUUUUGUGGAGAAGAGAAAGGGAAAUUAAACCUUAAAACAUGAGUGAAAUUCAGAGGGAUGCAGUAGAGAGGACGACUCCUCCUGGAACACAGGCAGCAAGCAUACUCCUGGGAACAGCAGGCGGGUUUGAACACGUUCUGCCGCCCAGCUCUACAGCCUAGCUCAGUGGUCUCCAUCUUAAACUGAGAGGAGACUUCUCAGAAAAGAAGUGCUGAAGCUGACUCUUCAUGUGGAGAUGCAGGAGACGUUCUCAUUGUUGACAGCUUGGCUGUUAAUGGUUGUCACUCACAUUCAACAGGAGUGCAAAUCUAACGUUGAUUUGUUCGAAUAGUUCUACCCAGUAGUAAGUUGUACAAAGUAAGAAUUGGGGCUAAUGUGGUUAACAGAGCUCAGGCAUGCAGGUAGCAACAGAAAAUGCCAGUAAAAUCCAAUAAAUAGGAAGGUUCCAGGAGCAAGGAAUAGCAUUCAUACCAUAGGGCGGGCGCGAAGUGUCUCAGGACCAGGCGUUUGCAGCCUUGAGCUCUGUAACACUCAAUGUCAGCUUUAUCCUUGCCUGUUCCUUACAAUGGUUAAUUCCUGAGACCAACAGCAGUAUAACAUUCCAGUUUUUUCUAGUCAGUUUCUGUUGUUUCUCAGUCUUUUUAAUUUUUCUUUCCUUUACUUUAAUUUCAAUUAUUUAUUACAAAUGGUGUGUGUGUGUGUGUGUGUGUGUGUGUGUGUGUGUGUUUGUGUGUGUGUGUAUACACACAUGAGAACAACUUUCAGUAGUCAAUUUUUUUUCUUCCACUAUAUGGAUCCCAGAGAUCAAAGUCAGGAUAUCAGACUUCCUUAGCCCUAGAUUUUGUUUUACGUUUUACUUGACAAAAAUUGAAUACCUUUAUAGGAUAUAAUAUAAUGUUUUACUACAUAUUUACAUUGUGGAAUGAUUAAACCCAAGAUAAUUUAGAUAGUUAUCUCUAAUUAGCAUUUUUUAUCCUGAGAACAUUUAAAAUACAAUCUUUAUAAAUUUUGAGAUAUCAAUAGUAUAAUCAUUUCAAUGACUAUUGUGUAUACAGAUUGAUUAUGAGAAAUUUUUGUGUGGAGCAGAAACUUUGAAUUCUUCUAUCAAUGUCUCUCCAAUUCAAUGUACCUCUCAGUGUGAGGCCCAGAUAACAUCAAUAUGUUCUCUAUUUGAGUUUGACUUUUGAAGAUUCCACAUAUGUGUUAGACAAUGUGUAUCCAUAUGAGUGGAUGAGAGUCCCGUCACAGUACAAAAUCAGUUCAUUCCAUCAACCCGAUCAGUAUAACGCAGGAUAUAACAUCCCCUACCCAGGAACAAAGGCAUGACCUACAUACUGUUGCCUGCUGAGUGAAGGAGUUCUGUCAGAGAGUGAGAUGAGCUUGGAAAGGCAGCAUAGAUAUCUGGGGAAAAAAUAGCUCGCCAUAGUUCUACUGGGACAGAUGGAGGGACUUGAAUGUUGAGUAGGCAGACAACAGUGUGCCCAAACAAUGUGUUCCCUUUUCCCCAUUUGUUUUGAAUGGAAAGUGGAAUCUUCACCUGGAGGAGGAACCCUGCAACAGCUGAGGCAUAAUCUUAGUGGAUUAUAAGCCUUUGAACUGUGUGGAUCGGUAAUUACGGGGAGACAGAGUCACUGUUGAGUUGUGGAAACCAUUGCUUCAUAAUUCCCUCUCUUCCCUUCCUGAACUGUAGUUACAAAUUUCUACAUUGGUUUUUGUGGCUUACAUGUACCAUAGAGUAGAAAGGAAUUGUAGGCAUUUAUUUUGCUGUAAAAAGUAUUUUUAGGUGUUUGUGGGCUGUGUAUCAAUUACUAUAUAACAUAGAAUUAGGAAGGAAUGUGCAAAAUAUAUUUAGCAACUGCUGAUAAUAUUUUAAGAACAUUUGAUUCUGACACAUGGUUUAUAAUUUAUAGAGAUGCAGGUUACAUCAUCAAAAGGUUAUAUAUUGGGAAACCUACCAAAAAAAUCCUUAACUAAAAUACUUUCUUGAAACACAGACUGAGGAAUGUUCUCUCACAGAAGGAAAAGAAUGUGCUAUGUGUGAUUGCUCAGGCUUUUCCGUUCCUGACUGCUUGUCCAGCUCUGCACUUCCUACCAAGAACAGUCGAAGGCUUUUGAUAGGCAAGUGACUGAACCAGGAGAGAUGAAUGUCAAUUGGAUGCUUGACCCUUAUUUUUUAUUCAGAACUGUUCUUUCUCUCUGGCCUCAUAAGGUGCAGUGAUGUCUUGCCAGAGGCUGGACAGAGAUGAAUAUAUUCAUGGAUGGAAAUAGCAAUGCACAACUGUAUAAACAAAUGCUAAAGAUUUGUCUUGGAAGUUUGUUCAGGGCAGCCAUUCAUGCGCACAGAGAGGAUAAUACUAUUACUGAAAAUAGUAUAAAACAUCAAUUUUCACUCAGUGUUUGCACACUGUUGCAUUUUUCAGAAUGUUUUGUGUACAUUAUGUCCUGUGGUUGAGUAAGUCUAGUGUGGGGGAAGACUGGUAAUAUAACUUUUUCACUGAUUAGGAAAUCACGACAGAAUAAAGCUAAAUGAAAACCAGGUUCAGAAGCUCAAAGUUUUUUCUUUCCCUUGUGUGGUUCCUAGUAAAACAGAAACAUUUCUCUCCUCUUCCUUUCUCUCAAGGAAGAAAAAGAAAAGACAGAGUGAACAAAAAUCCCAAGAAAAUCCACUUGCUACACUAAACACACACUCUCAGUUUCUGAAGAACACACACUCACAGGGUCAGAUUUUCCUGCAGGAGGAAACGGCAACCUGGAGAUGUAAUGUUCCCAGCUUUCAUCUGUUGUUUCCUCAUCAGGUGGCAAUUCACACACCCCGUUUUAUUCCGGUUAAUCCCCAGUCUAUUUUCCUUGUCUUUACUCUCUAACCCAAUCUCACACCUCACCUGAAAGGUUUGCAUCUCACUGUUCUGUGUUCUCCAGCAAGGGGCGCCACUGUGAGAUUGUGCAUGCUCAGUGGGCGCUUUCACGUCAUUUGUGAGAGUUUCUUUAGGAAAAUACAGCUAGGGAAAAGGAGGUUUCUGAGAAUGUUUGAUAGUAUGUGUGUUACUUCAUAGUUACCCAUUCCUGCAAUGCCCCCAGACAUAAUCUUAGGAAAUUGAUAAUUGGAACAGAGUUGUCCAGAAGUAAACAGCAUAAAGAACUACUAAAUUUUCUAUUAGAAUGAAUAUGCUUUAUGAUUUUGUGGGUUCCAAAUACAAAAUAGAAGUCUGAGUACCAUAGACCUUUUGACAGCUGCCGAGAACACUUUUUAAUUUGUCUGCAACUCCAGCAGCAGAAAAUAAAAGUAAGAAAAACAAGAGGAUUAGUCUCCUGCUGUAUUUGAUGGAUAUCAACUUGGAUAGAUCACUUGAAGGAAUCUGGUGACCCGUGGGCAAGUUUUCUGAGUGAGCCAACUGUGGCUGCACUGCACAGCUGUGCUCGUUGAAAGUAAGAAACACAUACAAAGAAGCUCAAGAAGAUGAAGAACCUCACAGUACUCUCAAGCCAUCUCUGGUCUGGAUGUUUAAGAGACCUGCCCUUGUUGGUGAGGAAGCAGCAAUUCUGCUUCAAUUCAAAGGACAAUGGAAACUGGCCCAGUGGAGGGAGCCGCGCGCAUCGUCUUGCUCUCAGACACAGAGGCUGUGUCUCUCAGUGGCAAUGCACUGUAUCCUUGCCCCAAACACUCUUUUUCUAGCUCUGUAUAAAUUACCUACCUGGCAAAAUAAAGACUAAAGCUGCGAGCAAAAAUACACUUCUGUGGGUGUAAUUGUAUUCGUGGCCAAGCGGAGUUUGGACUUCUUCCAUUAGCAGGGAUGCCUGGUGGUAGUACUAACUUUAAAACCCAGAGCUGUCAACAAACAGAAGGCGCCCGGCUGAGAGGGAUCAGGAACGGAGUGGGGAGAUGGGAAAAACAGGCGGGGGGCUUCAAAGAACUCAAACCAACCCAGCCCCCCAAGGGAACCGACCUAGGGAGAGAAACUUUUCUCAGGGCUGCACUCCGUUGUCCCUUUCCACCAAAACCUCCAUUCUGUCCUGUUUCCUCUGGCUUUAUCUGGAAAGAAGAGGCAGAUUUGAGUGAGAAGGCUGGAAUCCAUGCCAGUAUUCCUUCCUCCUCAUGGGGUCACUGAGCACUUCCCAAAGUCGUUUUUUCUCAUAGUCUCUAGUCACAAUGGUUGGUCCUUGCUGUUCUGAACUGAAACUUUGCUCAAGGGAAACCAAACCAAGCCAAAACACUAAAAACUGGGCAUAAGUUGGAUAUUUCACAAGGUGGACUAGAACCUCACAAUUGUGAGGAGUUGGAAUGGUGCAGAUUAAUUGCCAACAUUACCUAGGAUUCUGUUUAGUCCCCUCAGUAGCCACUUAUUACCCACCUCUUUAUCUAACAUAGCAUCAUUCAACUAUUAGUUAAAACCUUCUCAAAUGUAUCCAUUUAGCAGGCCACUAACUUCCAUCGUGCCCAAAGCUAAGUACGUCGUCCCAUAGUAUCGGAAACCUGUAGCAGGGAUUUUGUCACUCUGCUGUACCCCAGGCAUCUGCUCCCCUCGCCAGUGUGUUUGGUCAGUACACUGGUUUAUGGUUUUCUUUUGUCCUGUGACCAUAACACGUUCAUAUGUCUUCUAUAUUGGAGCAUGCCACUCAGGAUAACCUAAGGCUGUGGUCACUAACAUUUAGCCCAGGAAUUAGGGCCAACAACUGAAUCUCAUAAAAGCAAAAGGCUCCUGCAUUGCAGAAUGGAACACUCAUUGAGAUGAAGAGGAAGCCCCCAGAAUGGGAGAGAAUAUUGUCUAGUUAUACAACCGAUGGAGGAUUAACAUCCAGAUACAUAAAGAACUCAAAAAAAUGAAGUCGAGACAACAAUCUAAAUGCGGGAUAUGGAUAUGAACAGGGAGUUCCCAAAAUAAGAAAUAAAGAUAUCUAAGAAAUUACUCCAAAGUGUUCAUUCCCCUUAGCUAUUACCGAAAUGCGAAUUAAAAUUGCUUGGACAUCCCAUCUUAGCACAAUCAAAAAAGCUCCGAUCAACAAAACAAACCGGCGGCAUUGCAGGCUGGCAUAGCUGCUCUUGACAUCAGUGUGGAGAAGUCUCAAAAAGCUUAAAAAGGUCUACAUAUGACCAGCUAUCCCGUUCCCUGUGAUCUGCCCACAGGUCUCAACAUCCCACGCCCGUGUGUAUGAGCCACCAGAUGUCUAGAAGGACGAGAUAUCUUGAAAUGUGCAACAAAGGCACACUUACCCUGGGGCCAUGCGAUUGGGCCUAAAGCCCAUUACAUAAGAGGGAUUUCGUACCUGGUUCUGAAACCUAGCCCAGUGCCCGUGACUAUUAAAGUCAUAGGCUCUCGAGGAGAACUUAUUGCUACAGUUUUCCUAAACCAGUAUAACUUCUCACUGCAUUCUAAACAUUUUUCUUAUACCCACCGGUAAGUACAGCUCUCAACCAUCAUCAAAGAACUUUCUUUCUGCAGCAGGAAGAGACUAUCACACGGUGACCAACCAGGCAAAACCCUGAGAGUAACUCACUGUAGCAUUACCAGGACAUCUACAACACAGGCCCUAAAGCUGAGGGAACAUUGAGGAAGAGGAGAUGGAAGGAUUACAAAAGCCAGAGGACUGGGAAGUCUGAUGCAAGGUUGUGUCUUUUGUACAUGAUAGGAAAGCUGCACCCAUGAAAUCUCAACAGUAUGGCUUCCUUAAAAAGACAGGAACAAAGACAGCGGCAGUUGUCACAUCAGUGUGGAUGAGGGAGAUCUCAUAAGGCCCUAUUCCUUUACGGGGAGCAGUAGGCAAGUAAUGGCUGUGGAGAGAGGAAGAAUCAAUCUUCUCCAGGGAUGAGUUAGACACAAACACACCCAUGCAAGUAACACAGAAGGGACCAUGCCAGUUGAGGGCAAACAUUUGUUUGUAUACACACAGUGACAAUAAUAAUUAAAGAAUAAGAUGCCAUGAAUUUAAGAGGGAAUUUAAUGGGAAAAGGGAGGGUGGAAAUAACGUAGAUACAAUAGCCGCAUAUGAAAUUCUCAAAACAUUGACCAUCUCAUGAGAAAAGAAAAUAUAAAAUAUUAAUAAAAACACCGUGCUCUAAUAUAAUCCUCAAAACAAAUGUAGCAUCUCUUAAUACGUGAUGGCUUUCUUGGUCAAUUUACAUAAUGUUUUUGUUCAGACUUAAAGAUCAGAGUUAUUUAAUUCAUGUUCAAAUUAGGAUUUUGUAAAUAUAGACUACUAACAGGGUACACUUUAGAUAUCAUCUUGGUAGACCGUUUGUGUGGGUUUAGGUCAAUUAAUUUUGAUCUACUGGGGUAUAUUUAUAAAUGGAAAUGCAAUUAGUCUUAAUCCUUAUAUAAGCAUCUUGUUUAAUGUGAAAAUUUAGGCAUAUGUCUAAUUAACAAUCAGCAGUCUUUCCUCUUAACACUCAGCCACUGACCAGAUGAAGAGAUGAGGAGCUUCGGAAUUACAGAAGAAAAUACAGAAGACACAAGCUGCUUUGCAUCUGAAUGACAAGAACUGUAGGAUGGACGCCAAAUGAGUUUUUACAAACCUGGACUUUCUUUUAAUGAACCAGACUAUGAGUACUUCUUAAAGACUCCAGGAGACAGCACCAACACCUCUGCCCACUUAUAAACUUAGGCAUAUGGAACCCGAGACAUUUCUGCUCCUUCUCUCCAUGGCUGGCCCAACUGCACACAUUUUCUACUGAAUGUGCAUCAGGGUUGCUUCCAAUUGAGUCCCUGCAUUUGGAAACCAUCUUUCUUGUCCAGAAAAGUACUUUUACAAACUGGCUCACUGCUAGUACAUGUCUCUUUGAAUUACCAUUUCAUUGUUUAAGAGCAGGUCCCCUCUAAGCAUGAGAGGGGGAGUUCUUUAUUCUUUUGCUAAAUUGGUCAGCCAAAGAACAGCUUUUGGUGAAUAAAAGAUAUUCUCAUUUUAGCAAA